rnacentral:rRNA from 1 species
AAGUUGUUGAGGGGUUUUGUGGCGGCUCUUUUAAAAGUUAAUUGGAGUGUGCGUAUAGAAACUUAUAUUUUUGUGGUUUUUUAACGUAUGUUUUUGAGCUAGGAUUUAUUUGGUCUCAGUUCUCUAAUGUGUGAGAUAGAUAAAAACUCAGUGCCAGCCAUCGCGGUUAAACCAGUUAUCUCUCUUUUACUUUGCUUAUAAGGUAAUCUCAUUCUAUAGAAGUGGAUUUGGUACCCAAUUAUAAAUGAGAGAUUAAUUGAGAAAGACUUAGGUUUAUAAUUUAAUAUUGGUUGGUGUGAAAUUUGUUUCAUGUUUGUGGAUUAGGAAUCGUUCUUUUUUUGUUAUUGUAAGGAGUGGAUAAAAAUUAAGUCACUAGGCGGUCUAGGGAUAUUUCACAGGGGAGUUUGCUUAUUAAAUUGAUGAUCCUCGUAAAGAUUUUUUUCCUUCUCUUAUGUGGUUGUGUAUGUCCGUUGACUUUUUGUAUUUUAAUAUUGUUAAAAGGGUAGGAAAACGCUAUAAUGUUUUGUUCUUUAUUUCAGGUCAACAUGCACUUAAGGUAGGGUAUAUAGUGAGCUACUUGUGAUGUUGUUAUUAUUAAAGUUGGAACUUGGAGUUUGAGGGAAAUAGGACUUGUGAGUAAAAAUAAAUUUUCUUUUUGUUGUUUUGAAUGGUAUUUAAGAACUUAGGAGUACUCACCGCCCGCUAUGUGAUUAUCAUAAAGGCGUAACAAGGUAGGCUUUCUAGAAAGAUGGCCUGGUACAGAAGG